UACGGAGGAGGCAAGCGUUAUCCGGAAUUAUUGGGCGUAAAGCGUCCGCAGGUGGCACUUCAAGUCUGUCGUCAAAGACUGGGGCUUAACCCUGGAAAGGCGGUGGAAACUGAAGCGCUAGAGUGCGGUAGGGGUAGAGGGAAUUCCCGGUGUAGCGGUGAAAUGCGUAGAGAUCGGGAAGAACACCAGUGGCGAAAGCGCUCUACUGGGCCACAACUGACACUGAUGGACGAAAGCUAGGGGAGCGAAUGGG
rnacentral:rRNA from 1 species